AAACUAUUAAUUCAAUUCCAUCAGAUAAAAUGACAUGUAUAUCCCAAAAAAUCCAAAACAGGGAGGCCAACACCCCCGCAAGCAUCCUCAAAAUUAACUUAUUUAUCCAGAGAAUAUGCCCAACAUGCUAGGCUUUUGCAUUGCAUAGUUGCUGAACAAAAAUUAUGCAAAACUAAUGUGAAUUUAUAAGUUUACGUCAAUCGACUACUUCAAUCAGGGUAGGCUCAU
rnacentral:misc_RNA from 1 species